UACGUAGGGUGCGAGCGUUGUCCGGAAUUACUGGGCGUAAAGAGCUCGUAGGUGGUUUGUCGCGUUGUUCGUGAAAACUCACAACUCAAUUGUGGGCGUGCGGGCGAUACGGGCAGACUGGAGUACUGCAGGGGAGACUGGAAUUCCUGGUGUAGCGGUGGAAUGCGCAGAUAUCAGGAGGAACACCGGUGGCGAAGGCGGAUCUCUGGGCCUUACCUGACGCUGAGGCGCGAAAGCUAGGGGAGCGAACAGG
rnacentral:rRNA from 1 species